GACGAACGCUGGCGGCGUGCUUAACACAUGCAAGUCGAACGGAAAGGCCCUGCUUUUGUGGGGUGCUCGAGUGGCGAACGGGUGAGUAACACGUGAGUAACCUGCCCUUGACUUUGGGAUAACUUCAGGAAACUGGGGCUAAUACCGGAUAGGAGCUCCUGCUGCAUGGUGGGGGUUGGAAAGUUUCGGCGGUUGGGGAUGGACUCGCGGCUUAUCAGCUUGUUGGUGGGGUAGUGGCUUACCAAGGCUUUGACGGGUAGCCGGCCUGGGAGGGUGACCGGCCACAUUGGGACUGAGAUAAGGCCCAGACUCCUACGGGAGGCAGCAGUGGGGAAUAGUGCACAAUGGGCGGAAGCCUGAUGCAGCAACGCCGCGUGCGGGAUGACGGCCUUCGGGUUGUAAACCGCUUUCGCCUGUGACGAAGCGUGAGUGACGGUAAUGGGUAAAGAAGCACCGGCUAACUACGUG
rnacentral:rRNA from 1 species